GACGGAGGAUGCAAGCAUUAUCCGGAAUGAUUGGGCGUAAAGCGUCCGCAGGUGGCAGUUCAAGUCUGCUGUCAAAGACCGGGGCUUAACUUCGGAAAGGCAGUGGAAACUGAACAGCUAGAGUAUGGUAGGGGCAGAGGGAAUUCCUGGUGUAGCGGUGAAAUGCGUAGAGAUCAGGAAGAACAUCGGUGGCGAAGGCGCUCUGCUGGACCAUAACUGACACUCAGGGACGAAAGCUAGGGGAGCGAAUGGG
rnacentral:rRNA from 1 species